rnacentral:lncRNA from 1 species
AAAGGAGUAGUGUAAGUUUAAGGCUAUGCAAAAUCAAGAAACUGAGUUUCAAACAUGUGGUGACAAUUGUUUUUAUAUGUGUUUUUAAAAGCAUCCAGUGCAUGUAACAUGGGAUGGUCGGUUGAAUUGUUAUUGGGCCUACUAGUUGGUAAUUAUUGGGUCAUUGUGGCCAAUAUUUUUUACCGAUGAUUUGUGCAUUGCUGUAAAAUUGUGAGGCAUAUGUUAUAUAUAUAUAUAUAUAUAUAUAUAUAUGGGCUUGUCUGUGAUUGUAGUGGCCCAUAGUUUAUAUACAGGGGUGUGUAAUUUAUGUAUGGGCGGGGCCGAGAUUUAAUUGAGUAAUGAAAACGAUGUAUUUUGCGUAGGAAUCAUUGUUUUUUUGUAGUUAAACUUAUUGUGGAUUAAUGAUAUAGAUUUGGUUUGUGGCAUGCGUUACUAAUGUUUUUAUUUUUAUCGUGGUCUGUUUUUUUUUUUAAAUACGAAGUAGUUGUUUCAUAUUUCCAAAAAAGGAGCAAAGCAGAAGCGGCCCACUCUCCUAAAGUGACGUUGACAACUAUAAUGGGCAUAUUAAACAUGGCCCAUGAUAACUUUUAAUUGACAAGCAUAUCCAAUACAAUAUUAUAUCAACAAACAUGUGAGACUUUUUUAAAGAAGAGUCUAGCUGACAACAUGAAGAAAGAACAAUGUUGAGGUGGCAUGCUGUAAAGAGAGAAUGUUUUGAUUUAUUGAUAUAAAUUUUCAAGAUUCUCAGUUAAGCACUUGAAUAAGAAAAAGCAAAGCAGGUGUACAAAAUUAAAGUUUAUAGUGAAAACAAAAAAAAAUUCUACUCAAUGACUCACUCUAACUUUAAAAAUGAAAACAAUCUUAAUUAGGUAAACGUUUCAGUUACAAAAAAGC